rnacentral:misc_RNA from 1 species
GAUGAAGAACGCAGCGAAAUGCGAUAAGUAGUGUGAAUUGCAGAAUUCAGUGAAUCAUCGAAUCUUUGAACGCACAUUGCGCCUUCUAGUAUUCUGGGAGGCAUGCCUGUUUGAGCGUCAUUAAACCUCUCUCAAGUAUGAUUACUUGGAUGUGAAGGAAGAGUACCUUAAACUUAAGGAGUGUUCUCCUUUGAAAUUGAUUAGCAGAUGGUAAUGUUAUUAAAUCCCUGAUGUUGUAAGAAAUAACAGUGGUUUUGUAGACUAUUAUCUAGCUUUAAAUUAUAAUUUUUAUUAUGGUUGACCUCAAAUCAGGUAAGGAUACCCUCUGAACUUAAGCAUAUCAAUAAGCGGAGGA